AGGGCUGCGCGCAGGACGGAGGGCGCGCGACAGGGAGAAGCCGCGGAGGCUUGAGUGCUGCGGGAGGCGUGUGCGCGCUCCCGCGACCGAGCCUCCCCGCGCCCGCGCCCCUCUCCCCGCCCCGCCCCUCCCCGCGCCCCCGCCCCCGCCCGCGCGUUUUCUCCUCCCUCCUCCCCGCCCCGCGCCCGCCCAGCCCCCGGAAUCUGUGCAGCUGUCGCCGUCCAGGCUGCAGAUUCCUCCAGUCCCUCCCCCGGCCGCCUCUCUGCCCGGAGCGAGCGCGCAGCCCAGCGCAGCAGCGCCUACUGGUCCCGUCCUGUGAGCCCCGGCCCCAGCCGCCGACAGCCCUGCGAAGUCGCCUCCCAGGCCUACCGGCCCGGCCGCCGAGGAGCGGGAGGAGGACGGGACCCCGGCCCCCACCCCCCACCCCACCUCCGGAGAACUCUGAAAAGUAACUGAUGUGGACAAGCAGCUGAGACAGUCAAGAUGACGACCACGGUAGCCACAGACUAUGACAACAUUGAGAUCCAGCAGCAGUACAGUGAUGUGAACAACCGCUGGGAUGUGGAUGACUGGGACAAUGAGAACAGCUCUGCAAGGCUCUUUGAGCGCUCCCGCAUCAAGGCCCUGGCAGAUGAGCGUGAAGCUGUACAGAAGAAGACCUUCACCAAGUGGGUCAAUUCCCACCUUGCGAGAGUGUCCUGCCGAAUCACAGACCUGUACACGGACCUUCGAGAUGGACGGAUGCUCAUCAAGCUACUGGAGGUCCUCUCUGGAGAGAGGCUGCCUAAACCCACUAAGGGACGGAUGCGGAUCCACUGUCUGGAGAAUGUCGACAAGGCUCUUCAAUUCCUGAAAGAGCAGAGAGUCCAUCUUGAGAACAUGGGCUCCCAUGACAUUGUGGAUGGAAACCACCGGCUGACCCUCGGCCUCAUCUGGACAAUUAUUCUGCGCUUCCAGAUCCAGGAUAUUAGUGUGGAGACUGAAGAUAACAAAGAGAAAAAGUCUGCUAAGGAUGCAUUGCUGCUGUGGUGCCAGAUGAAGACAGCUGGGUACCCCAAUGUCAACAUUCACAAUUUCACCACUAGCUGGAGGGAUGGCAUGGCCUUCAAUGCACUGAUACAUAAACAUCGGCCUGACCUGAUAGAUUUUGAUAAACUGAAGAAAUCUAAUGCACACUACAAUCUGCAGAAUGCAUUUAACCUGGCAGAGCAGCACCUUGGCCUCACUAAACUGUUAGACCCUGAAGAUAUCAGUGUGGACCACCCUGAUGAGAAGUCUAUCAUCACAUACGUGGUGACUUACUACCACUACUUCUCCAAGAUGAAGGCCUUGGCUGUCGAAGGAAAGCGCAUUGGAAAGGUGCUUGAUAAUGCUAUAGAAACAGAGAAAAUGAUUGAGAAGUACGAGUCACUUGCUUCUGACCUUCUGGAGUGGAUUGAACAAACCAUCAUCAUCCUAAACAACCGCAAAUUUGCUAAUUCACUGGUUGGGGUCCAGCAGCAGCUCCAGGCAUUCAACACGUACCGCACAGUGGAGAAACCACCUAAGUUUACUGAGAAGGGGAAUUUGGAGGUGCUCCUUUUCACAAUUCAGAGCAAGAUGCGAGCGAAUAAUCAGAAGGUCUACAUGCCCCGCGAGGGGAAGCUCAUCUCUGACAUCAACAAGGCCUGGGAAAGACUGGAAAAAGCAGAACAUGAGAGAGAACUGGCUCUGCGGAAUGAGCUCAUACGGCAGGAAAAACUGGAACAACUCGCCCGAAGAUUUGAUCGCAAGGCAGCUAUGAGGGAGACAUGGCUGAGUGAAAACCAGCGUCUUGUGUCUCAGGACAACUUUGGAUUUGACCUUCCCGCUGUUGAGGCUGCUACCAAAAAACACGAGGCCAUUGAGACAGACAUCGCUGCAUAUGAAGAACGAGUUCAGGCCGUGGUGGCUGUGGCCAGGGAACUUGAAGCCGAGAACUACCAUGACAUCAAGCGCAUCACAGCGAGGAAGGACAAUGUCAUCCGGCUCUGGGAAUACUUGCUGGAACUGCUCAGGGCCAGGAGGCAGCGUCUUGAGAUGAACCUGGGAUUGCAAAAGAUAUUCCAGGAAAUGCUUUAUAUUAUGGACUGGAUGGAUGAAAUGAAGGUGCUAUUGCUGUCUCAAGACUAUGGCAAACACUUACUUGGUGUUGAAGACCUGUUACAGAAGCAUGCCCUGGUUGAAGCAGACAUUGCAAUCCAAGCAGAGCGUGUAAGAGGUGUGAAUGCCUCUGCCCAGAAGUUUGCAACAGAUGGGGAAGGCUACAAGCCAUGUGACCCCCAGGUAAUUCGAGACCGUGUUGCCCACAUGGAGUUCUGCUAUCAAGAGCUUUGUCAGCUGGCUGCCGAGCGUAGGGCUCGCCUGGAAGAGUCCCGUCGCCUCUGGAAGUUCUUCUGGGAGAUGGCAGAAGAGGAAGGCUGGAUACGAGAGAAGGAGAAGAUCCUGUCCUCUGAUGAUUACGGGAAAGACUUGACCAGUGUCAUGCGCCUGCUGAGCAAGCACCGGGCAUUUGAGGAUGAGAUGAGUGGCCGUAGUGGCCAUUUUGAGCAGGCCAUUAAAGAAGGUGAAGACAUGAUUGCAGAGGAACACUUUGGAUCGGAAAAGAUCCGUGAGAGAAUCAUUUAUAUCCGGGAGCAGUGGGCCAACCUGGAACAGCUCUCAGCCAUUAGGAAGAAGCGCCUAGAGGAAGCCUCAUUACUGCACCAGUUCCAGGCUGAUGCUGAUGAUAUUGAUGCUUGGAUGUUAGAUAUACUCAAGAUUGUCUCCAGCAAUGAUGUGGGCCAUGAUGAGUACUCCACGCAGUCUCUGGUCAAGAAGCAUAAAGAUGUAGCAGAAGAGAUCACCAACUACAGGCCCACUAUUGACACACUGCAUGAGCAAGCCAGUGCCCUUCCACAAGCACAUGCAGAGUCUCCAGAUGUGAAGGGCCGGCUGGCAGGAAUUGAGGAGCGCUGCAAGGAGAUGGCAGAGUUAACACGGCUAAGGAAGCAGGCUCUGCAGGACACCCUGGCCCUGUACAAGAUGUUCAGUGAGGCUGAUGCCUGUGAGCUCUGGAUUGACGAGAAGGAGCAGUGGCUCAACAACAUGCAGAUCCCAGAGAAGCUGGAGGACCUGGAAGUCAUCCAGCACAGAUUUGAGAGCCUAGAACCAGAAAUGAACAACCAGGCUUCCCGGGUUGCUGUGGUGAACCAGAUUGCACGGCAGCUGAUGCACAAUGGCCACCCCAGUGAAAAGGAAAUCAGAGCUCAGCAAGACAAACUCAACACGAGGUGGAGUCAGUUCAGAGAACUGGUGGACAGGAAAAAGGAUGCUCUUCUGUCUGCCCUGAGCAUCCAGAACUACCACCUCGAGUGCAAUGAAACCAAAUCCUGGAUCCGGGAGAAGACCAAGGUCAUCGAGUCUACCCAAGACCUUGGCAAUGACCUGGCAGGUGUCAUGGCCCUGCAGCGCAAGCUGACUGGCAUGGAACGAGACUUGGUAGCCAUUGAGGCGAAGCUGAGUGACCUGCAGAAAGAAGCUGAGAAGCUGGAGUCCGAGCACCCUGACCAGGCUCAAGCUAUCCUGUCUCGGCUGGCCGAGAUCAGUGAUGUGUGGGAGGAAAUGAAGACAACCCUGAAGAACCGAGAGGCCUCCCUGGGAGAGGCCAGCAAGCUGCAGCAGUUUCUGCGGGACUUGGACGACUUCCAGUCUUGGCUCUCCAGGACCCAGACUGCUAUCGCCUCAGAGGACAUGCCCAAUACCCUCACUGAGGCAGAGAAGCUUCUCACACAGCACGAGAAUAUCAAAAAUGAGAUCGACAAUUAUGAGGAAGACUACCAGAAGAUGCGGGACAUGGGCGAGAUGGUCACCCAGGGGCAGACUGAUGCCCAGUAUAUGUUUCUGCGGCAGCGGCUGCAGGCCUUAGACACUGGCUGGAAUGAGCUCCACAAAAUGUGGGAGAACAGGCAAAACCUCCUCUCCCAGUCCCAUGCCUACCAGCAGUUCCUUAGGGACACCAAACAAGCUGAAGCUUUUCUUAAUAACCAGGAGUAUGUUUUGGCUCAUACUGAAAUGCCCACCACCCUGGAAGGAGCUGAAGCAGCCAUUAAAAAGCAGGAGGACUUCAUGACCACCAUGGAUGCCAACGAGGAGAAGAUCAAUGCUGUUGUGGAGACUGGCCGAAGACUGGUGAGCGAUGGGAACAUCAACUCCGACCGCAUCCAGGAGAAGGUGGACUCUAUUGACGACAGACACAGGAAGAAUCGAGAAGCAGCCAGUGAACUUCUGAUGAGGUUAAAGGACAACCGUGAUCUACAGAAGUUCCUGCAAGAUUGUCAAGAGCUGUCCCUCUGGAUCAAUGAAAAGAUGCUUACAGCUCAAGACAUGUCUUAUGAUGAAGCCAGAAAUCUGCACAGUAAAUGGUUAAAGCAUCAAGCAUUUAUGGCGGAACUUGCAUCCAACAAAGAAUGGCUUGACAAAAUUGAGAAGGAAGGAAUGCAGCUUAUUUCAGAAAAGCCAGAAACAGAAGCUGUGGUAAAGGAAAAACUCACUGGUUUACAUAAAAUGUGGGAAGUCCUUGAAUCCACAACCCAGACCAAGGCCCAGCGGCUCUUUGAUGCAAAUAAGGCUGAGCUUUUCACACAAAGCUGCGCAGAUCUUGACAAAUGGCUACAUGGCCUGGAGAGCCAGAUUCAAUCUGACGACUAUGGCAAAGACCUUACCAGUGUCAAUAUUCUUCUGAAAAAGCAACAGAUGCUGGAGAAUCAGAUGGAAGUUCGGAAGAAAGAGAUCGAGGAACUGCAGAGCCAAGCCCAGGCGCUGAGUCAGGAGGGGAAGAGCACAGAUGAGGUGGACAGCAAACGCCUUACUGUGCAGACCAAGUUCAUGGAGCUUCUGGAGCCCUUGAGUGAGAGGAAGCAUAACCUGUUAGCUUCCAAGGAGAUCCAUCAGUUCAACAGGGAUGUGGAGGACGAAAUCCUAUGGGUUGGCGAGAGGAUGCCUUUGGCAACUUCCACAGAUCAUGGCCAUAACCUUCAAACUGUGCAGCUGUUAAUAAAGAAAAACCAGACCCUCCAGAAAGAAAUCCAGGGACACCAGCCUCGUAUUGAUGACAUCUUUGAGAGGAGUCAAAACAUCAUCACAGAUAGCAGCAGCCUCAAUGCCGAGGCUAUCAGGCAGAGGCUCGCUGACCUGAAGCAGCUGUGGGGGCUCCUCAUUGAGGAAACUGAGAAACGCCAUAGACGGCUGGAGGAGGCACACAAGGCGCAGCAGUACUACUUUGAUGCAGCUGAAGCCGAGGCAUGGAUGAGUGAACAGGAGUUGUACAUGAUGUCUGAGGAAAAGGCCAAGGAUGAGCAGAGUGCUGUCUCUAUGUUGAAAAAGCACCAGAUUUUAGAGCAAGCUGUUGAGGACUAUGCAGAGACAGUACACCAGCUCUCCAAGACUAGCCGGGCGCUGGUGGCUGACAGCCAUCCCGAAAGUGAGCGUAUUAGCAUGCGGCAGUCAAAGGUCGACAAGCUGUAUGCUGGCCUGAAGGACCUUGCUGAGGAGAGGAGAGGAAAACUUGAUGAGAGGCACAGGCUGUUCCAGCUCAACAGAGAGGUGGAUGACCUGGAACAGUGGAUCGCUGAGAGGGAAGUGGUCGCAGGCUCCCAUGAGUUGGGACAGGACUAUGAGCAUGUCACGAUGUUACAAGAACGGUUCCGAGAAUUUGCUCGAGACACAGGAAACAUUGGGCAGGAGCGUGUGGAUACAGUUAAUAACAUGGCAGAUGAACUCAUCAACUCUGGACAUUCAGAUGCUGCCACCAUUGCUGAGUGGAAAGAUGGUCUCAAUGAAGCCUGGGCUGACCUCCUGGAGCUCAUUGACACAAGAACACAGAUUCUUGCUGCCUCAUAUGAACUUCAUAAGUUUUACCAUGAUGCCAAGGAGAUCUUUGGCCGAAUCCAGGACAAACACAAGAAACUCCCUGAGGAGCUUGGAAGAGAUCAAAACACUGUGGAAACUUUACAGAGAAUGCACACCACCUUUGAGCACGACAUCCAAGCUCUGGGCACUCAGGUGAGGCAGCUGCAGGAGGAUGCAGCUCGCCUCCAGGCAGCCUAUGCAGGGGACAAGGCUGAUGACAUCCAGAAGCGUGAGAAUGAGGUCCUGGAAGCCUGGAAGUCCCUGCUGGAUGCUUGUGAGGGUCGCAGGGUGCGGCUGGUAGACACAGGAGACAAGUUCCGCUUCUUCAGCAUGGUGCGUGACCUCAUGCUCUGGAUGGAAGAUGUCAUCCGGCAGAUCGAGGCCCAGGAGAAACCACGGGAUGUGUCAUCUGUUGAACUGUUAAUGAAUAAUCAUCAAGGUAUCAAAGCUGAAAUUGAUGCUCGUAAUGACAGCUUUACAGCCUGCAUUGAGCUUGGGAAAUCCCUGCUGGCACGGAAACACUAUGCUUCUGAGGAGAUCAAGGAAAAGUUACUGCAGCUGACAGAGAAAAGAAAAGAAAUGAUUGACAAGUGGGAAGACCGGUGGGAGUGGUUAAGACUGAUUUUGGAGGUCCAUCAGUUCUCAAGGGAUGCCAGUGUGGCAGAGGCUUGGCUGCUUGGACAGGAACCAUACCUAUCCAGCCGUGAAAUUGGCCAGAGUGUAGACGAAGUGGAGAAGCUUAUUAAGCGCCAUGAGGCGUUUGAAAAGUCUGCAGCGACCUGGGAUGAGAGAUUCUCUGCUCUGGAAAGGCUGACAACGUUGGAGCUACUGGAAGUGCGCAGACAGCAAGAGGAAGAAGAAAGAAAGAGGCGGCCACCUUCUCCGGACCCAAACACGAAGGUUUCAGAGGAGGCUGAGUCCCAGCAAUGGGAUACUUCAAAAGGAGACCAAGUUUCCCAGAAUGGUUUGCCGGCUGAGCAGGGAUCUCCACGGGUUAGUUACCGCUCUCAAACGUACCAAAACUACAAAAACUUUAAUAGCAGACGGACAGCCAGUGACCAUUCAUGGUCUGGAAUGUGAAGUUCACUACCAUUUGUCAAGAACCACUCUGUCCACAUCCUUUGACCUUUUGGCUUCCACGUCACCCAGAGUGUUAAAAUUUUUACUUAAUUCAUAGCUGUCCUUGAUUUCAUAUUUGUUUGCAUUUAAUUUAUGUUUCUUUGGAUCCUCAUUGCCUCAAAGCAGCAUACUUAAUUUUUGUUUAUUUAUUGUGAGCUUUUUACUUUAAGAUUUUACAUGAGUAAUCAAAAUUAAAUUAUAGCAUAAUGAAAUUAGACUCUUAACAGGUACGGCACACACAAGUUAAUAGUACUCUGCUAUAGGUGCUAUGUUACUUACAAGUAUUAUUAACCUAUUGGCUUCCAUUGUAUAGUAGUUUAGUAACUAUGAAGACUGGUUUGUAAGGAAGGAAACGUUUACUACUAAGGUUAGGCCUGCAGUUGCUCUGGAACAUUCCAUGGAGAAUGCAUUCAUCAAACGGCCCGAAAGAAGCUACAUUUUGUUGGGAAGCUGGAUAAGUUUUAGGUGCAGGACCCCAAAUGUUCUGAGACCUUUGGGGCCAUUUAUUACUUUGUACAAGCCCAAUAAUCCUCUCUUUUCUGCCAAGUCCUCAACCCAGAAAUGUAGGCUUCUGUGCACCACACGGCACAGCCCACUGAUUGCUGCCACCGGCUCUGUCUUGGUCAGUGUUACCACUGCCAGCACUCAGGCUGUGGCAGAUGCCAGCAGCUCUUACCAUCAGUCAGAGUCUUCAGGGUGUCAAGCUGUUUUCAUUUUUUAGGCAAAUAGAACAAAAGCCAUUUUGGUUCAUCCUGAUCACUUGAAUGAUAGACUCAAUGCCCUGUGCCUGGCAGGGAGCGCUUGCAGAGGUGUCCUAGCCUUAGAGGGCUACUUCAGUGUCUCUACUGACAGAAACUCCUGUAUCUCAAAUGGAUCUCGAAGUUCUCUAGUAAGGAGUCCUAAGGAUGACAUGUAUUGGGCCACUAGCAGGGAUUGAAAACAUUUUAAAAGAAAUCCUUUUUCUUAGGAGUAAAAGCUGGUAAAAGGGGUGACUUCCUGGUUCUGAUCAAAACCAGACCAAACCCUCAUUUCAGCAAAGCCUUGCAAGACACUCCCUUGCUCAUUUGCCAUAUUUAGAUGUCUUAGUGGAGUCAGAGCCCUGUUUGGUAUGUGUUUUUCAUGCUAAGUCUAAAUUGUCUUUUCAUUUCAUGAUGCAUUUUUUCUCUUUUGUCAGGAUAACAUCAUAUAGCAUCUUGUUUGUUUUUCCUAAUCUCUAUGUACAUAUCUAUCUACCUGUAACCGUAGAUAGGUAUCUAGAUAGAUACCAAGCUUUUAAGCUCUGGGCUACUAUGCAUCAUUAUUGGGUCUCUGCCUUAAAACACAUCCAAAUUUAUAUUAGAAAAAAAAAAAAACUGUAUCUUUUUCUUUGGUCACUAAGAUCCCCUGACCAUGUCUUUAUGGCCACAAAUUAUACUGUGUCACUGAUCAUAUAUAUGUGUGUGUGUAUGUAUAUGUAUGUGUGUGUGUGUAUAUAUAUAUAUAUAUAUAUAUAUAGCCACACAUGAUCAUACUUAUAUAUGAUGUUUCCAUAUAUGUGCUGUGUGUUUAAGUUUUGUAUCAUCCAGACUGAUACCAAAUUUUAAGGUUUUUUUUUUUUUAACAAAGACAAUACACACAUAAGCACAUUAAAACAGGAAUGCUAUGAUACUGUUUAGCAUUUGCUCUGCUGCCUAUCUUUCUCUGUUUUUAAUUAACAAUUGGAUUUUAUUGGAAGAAGAAAAAGCAGUUUCAUUAUUUUGGAUGAUGAUGCAGAGACUCAUGUUAAUGAACUCGAAAAUGGUGUUGCUUCAUGUACUUUGAAAACCAAUCAGGUGUUUCCUGCGCUACUACUUGUCAUGUUGCAUUCAUGUUCACAUCCUGAUUUCACUGCCUCAGAUGUGCCUGGCCACAAAGCACUCUGAACUAAUUCCUAAAGAGAAGCAACAAUAUGUGUAUGUGGGGGGGUUGAUCACAUACAUGUACCAUCGUGUGAUCAUAGUACUAUGAUUUGCUUUUGACGUCUGUCCUAGUGAUGUGUGUUGUCUGCUGGCAUGCUUGCAGCACAUGUCCAUUAAAGGUCAUUUUGUUUAUUUGUUGGCAUGCUUACAACACAUGUCCAUUAAAGUUCAUUUGGUCCUUUUAUUUUCAUUGUUUUCUUGGUUAGUGAUUUCAUUUGCAUAAACAUUAAUUAUCUCUGCAUACUGGUGUGGGGUUUUCUCUUUCCUUCUAACUCCAGAGAAAAAAAUUUUUGCUGCAGAAUUCCCAUCAGAAGAGACUUCUUGUCUUCAACUUCCUUGAAGUGUGACCAGCUCUGAUAAAUUAUAGCCAUUUCUAGAUAAACUUCUGCCCACCCAGCCACUAGUGGUUUCCGCGUCAAAGCUGCAGCACUAAAUUUUUUUUUACCUGGUGUCUGUAUGUACUAACCCAUGUUUCUCUCCACUCACACCGGCUCAGCCUUCCACACCAACUCACAUGUGCUCCUUACAUGAGUUUCCUGAGAUUCCACUAGAAGAGAUUUGUCAACUGUAAGACCCCUCAACAUUCUUUUGACUUGGGCUUUGAUUACUUUCCCUCCCCCAAAAUAGUGAAAAGGGAAUCCAGGUGUAGUGGGGAUACUUGGCAAUCCUCGCCACUGGCAGAAGCAUUGGGAGUUUAAGCCCAUCCUGGGCAACAAAGCAAGACAAAACUAAGAGAGGAGGGGAAAGAGUGGUAGCCUGUUGCUCAGACCAUGCCCGCAGGCUGCUGCUUUCACAGCCAGGCCAACUAAGCACUCUGUCCCCCACCCCGUGUCUUUCUGCCCUGAUAAUCCAUUUACCAUAUUGGCAUGAGAAUAGAGAAUUUUAAUCAAAAACAACCUUAGGAUUGCAUAGUCUCCAGUCAAACCCUAAACCUUGGUGCUAAUUAUGCUAGUUUACCUAAGUUUAUAAUUCCAAACGCUUCUACAACGUUCUCAUUACUAUUUUUCCAGAAAAUUAGCUUUAUUUACAAUAAGCAGGCUCCAUUAAUCGAGAUAAGACCUAAGCAAGAGAGUUGACAGAUCUGAGUUUUGCAGUGGGAGUGGCCAGUCUACCGCUUAUACUGCGAAGGUUGCUGCUAACUGGGUGUCACUCUGACUCUGGACAGCAGUGGUGGGGGACUAUAGCUAAUGACUGUGCCAUUGAUACUUCCAUGUCUGUCUGUGUAUGAGGGGUGCAGGUUGUCUGUAAUCUACUAAAGCAUCAGCCACACCCAGCUUUAGUAACUUGCUAAUCCAUGCCCUGGGUAUAUCAGCCAGGGGCUGCUACAGUUAAUGGUACACAGUUGAUGGUACACAGGCCGAAAACGAUAAUGAAUCAAGACCCUACUACAUUUCCAAAGCCGAAAAACCGUGUGGGUUACAAUUUAAGUGAGCUUGGGAAGGAACGCUCCUGAAGACGUCUCCAGACUGAAGGGUCAAAGCCGCUGGAAGCCUGGCUGUCUCUGGGCUCCCGUCUCAGUGCAGCAAGGCACCGUGAUCAACCACCCGUGAUGGGGAAGGCCCUGGUUCAGUCUUUGUUUGGGGAUGGCAGGAACCAUGGAAACGAGUGAAAUGGUCAACGGUGCUGCUGAGCAGAGGACAAGCUCCAAAGAGUCCAGUCCUGUUCCCUCUCCCACCUUGGACCGAAAGGCCAAAUCUGCACUUCCAGCCCAGAGUGCUGCCACCCUGCCAGCCAGGACCCUGGAGACACCCGCUGCCCAGAUGGAAGGCUUCCUCAAUCGGAAGCAUGAGUGGGAGGCCCACAAUAAGAAAGCCUCGAGCAGGUCCUGGCACAAUGUAUAUUGUGUCAUAAAUAACCAAGAAAUGGGCUUCUAUAAAGAUGCCAAGAGUGCUGCUUCUGGCAUCCCCUACCACAGUGAGGUCCCUGUGAGUUUGAAAGAGGCCAUCUGCGAAGUGGCCCUUGAUUACAAAAAGAAGAAGCACGUGUUCAAGCUAAGACUAAGUGAUGGAAACGAGUACCUCUUCCAAGCCAAAGAUGAUGAGGAAAUGAACACAUGGAUCCAGGCUAUCUCCUCUGCCAUCUCCUCUGACAAACACGACACAUCUGCCAGCACCCAGAGUACGCCAGCAUCCAGUCGGGCGCAGACCUUACCCACCAGCGUCGUCACCAUCACCAGCGAGUCCAGUCCUGGCAAGAGGGAGAAGGAUAAAGAGAAAGACAAAGAGAAGAGGUUCAGCCUUUUCGGCAAGAAGAAGUGAACUUCCCUGUUGUCCCGCCCUUCUCUUACCUUUAGUAAGAGUCCAGCAUGCAAGUUCCGACCAACACAUUACUCUGUGCCUAAUGUUCCUCCAUGUAGUUGAUUUUUUUUCUUUUCUUUUUUUUUUAUUUUUGAAAUAAAUUUUUUAAUUUAUAGAGUAUUUCUGAGGGGUGGGGGAACCAUACCUAAACACUUUAUCUCCAAGUUUAAAAAGUUUGAGGUACAGAGGGAAGGCCAGAUUUUUUUAAUGAAAUUAUAUAGAUUAGAUCUCAGUAUUUAAACUGUUCCUCAAUUUUGUGAGGCUGUGUUGGAAAUAACCCGCCUCUGAUGCUGUUGGUAUGCAAGGCAGUGGUGCUUACACAAUAUUUCCUGUGCUCUCCAGAGACGAUGGACCGAUUUCCUGACACUACUCUCCCUUCACUUCCGUGGUUACCCUGAGUCUUGACUUACAAAUGCCCACGAUGGGUGUAGCCUUUAUUAAACAGAUCAUGUAUUCUGAUCUCUUGCUGCAGCCACAGUGCAGCUCCAUGUAAACCUACAGGCCAAACCAUUUGUAUCCGGCAUCACUUACUAACACACAACAUGUGGCUUUUCUGCAUCAAUUGCUGUGACAGUUCAGAAUGUUGGUAUACAAGAAAGAAUAGAAAAUUGAUAAGGUUUUAAAUAAUCUGUAAUUUCAGUCUCUUUUUUUCUGAAAUACAUUAUAUUGUAUGUUUGAGAUAAUUCUAGUACAAAGUAUAAUAAACUAGAUGUAUAAUAAACCCUUUAAAUCAUUGCUAAGUGUAUAAGUGGAACUGAAGCAUUUACUGGACAAAGUAAUGUUACUCUAAUGGUUACUUGCUUGUGCGUGGCCACACUGUUAUAAUUUGCUUCAUUACCCUGCUAUUUGAUACAUAGUGUGCAUUUCUCUGUCACUGUAACUAUUGUAAUAACAAAUUUUCAUCUUACUGCACAAUCAAAAUGGCAUCUAUAGUAAUGACCUCCAGAGUCUGAGCUUGGACAGAGAGUGGGCGCUCAGGCCUGGUGCUCCAUCAUACGACCUGUACCUCUCAACUUUUGCCCUGUUAAAUAUAUGCUAUGUCAUUAAAUGCUUUUAAAUCUA